GCGGUUUGUGCGCAGAGCGACGCGGUCAGAGCGGAGCGGUGGCCGGAUGAUGGGCGCUUAGGAGCGGCUCGCCGAGACGGUCUGCGGACCGGACUGCGCGGCACCGGCUCUGGGGGCCGUUCUGUUCUGGAGCUCCUCUGGUCAGAGUCUCCCGGUCAGCGGUGGCAUCACUCUGUGCGAACAGAACAGCGCGGCGGUGUGGCGAGCAGGAAGAGGCUGCGGCGGCGCAGGAGGCAGGCCGGAGUGGCGCAAAGCAACGAGGAGCGGCAAUUCUGGCUAGAGCGGGAGAAGAAGAAGAAGAUUGUUCCGGAGAGUGGAUGGACAAAAGGAAGGAAGGAGAGAGAGAGAGAAAGAAA